rnacentral:sRNA from 1 species
GUAGAGAUGGGGUUUCGCCAUGUUAGCCAGUAUGGUCUCGAUCUCCUGACCUCGUGAUCUGCCUGCCUGGGCCUCCCAAAGUGCUGGGAUUACAGGCAUACGGAUCAGGCUGUGAUAUUGUUAUUUUGGCAAAUGACUUUGAAUGUGUACAGAUCAUUCCUGGUGCUAAGCAUGGAAACAUCCAAGUCAGCUGUGUGGAGUGUUCUAACCAACAAGGAAGAAUUGCAGCUUCAUAUGGUAAUGCUGUUUGUAUAUUUGAGCCCUUGGGCAUAAAUUCUCAUAAAAGAAAUUGUCAACUCAAGUGCCAGUGGCUUAAAACUGGGCAGUUUUUUUUGAGUUCUGUGACAUACAACUUAGCAUGGGAUCCUCAAGAUAAUAGAUUGUUGACAGCAACUGAUUCUAUUCAGUUGUGGGCUCCUCCAGGAGAUGAUAUUCUGGAAGAGGAGGAAGAAAUUGAUAAUACAAUUCCUCCUGUUUUAAAUGAUUGGAAGUGUGUCUGGCAGUGCAAAACCUCAGUAUCUGUACAUUUGAUGGAAUGGUCUCCUGAUGGUGAAUAUUUUGCUACUGCUGGAAAGGAUGAUUGUCUUUUGAAAGUGUGGUAUCCUAUGACUGGUUGGAAGUCUUCAAUUAUACCUCAGGAUCAUCAUGAAGU